rnacentral:misc_RNA from 1 species
GUAGGUGAACCUGCAGAAGGAUCAUUAUUAUAUUCAGGUAGCGUUUACUGCUAGAAUUCGUUGUUUUGUUUGUUUGUUCUGGUUGGUUUGGUUUGGUUUUCCCUUGCCUUUAAUUAGGUAUAGCUCCUUAUGUUUUCUAGUAGUAACACGCUACCGAAUAUAAAGGAGCAAGAUACCCUUUAUAUUUAAAACCCACUCUUAAAUA